AGCUGCUGUACCCUCCGGGUGUUUCAGCAUGGAGAUGGCUGCUGCUGCUGCCCCCUUCAGGACCCAGAGGGAUAGUGAGAGUGAGGUAAUAGUCAACUCUACCUCUCAGUUCAGUGGUUUCAGGACUACUCUGUAGAUGCAGGACAGAUGAAGAGAGCUGGAGAAGACUAUUCCCAAAGGUGCUCAAAAUCCAAGUGCUCACAGCUGAUGAGGCAAACCUGGGCAGUGGAGAGAACAAUGUUCCCUGUGAGCAGCUCAAGGGGAAGAAUAAAGAUGCAGAGGAUUGACCAGAACUGUGCCCCCAUCAGUGUAUUGAGAUGGAAAGGUAUUAACUAUCUUAAUUUUACAUAGACAAACUUUUAUUUUUUAAAAAGUAAUUUACAUUACAUUACUAGAAAUAUAUAGUUGUGUUUUGUGCAUAUGUCAAUUAUUUUCUCUUCCAGAGAUCCAGGUUAGUACAUUUUUUUUUUCUCAUUCCUCCCCC